rnacentral:rRNA from 1 species
GAUGAACGCUGGCGGCGUGCUUAACACAUGCAAGUCGAACGAAGCAUUUAGGACAGAUUACUUCGGUUUGAAGUUCUUUAUGACUGAGUGGCGGACGGGUGAGUAACGCGUGGGUAACCUGCCUUGUACUGGGGGAUAGCAGCUGGAAACGGCUGGUAAUACCGCAUAAGCGCACAAUGUUGCAUGACAUGGUGUGAAAAACUCCGGUGGUAUAAGAUGGACCCGCGUCUGAUUAGCUAGUUGGUGAGAUAACAGCCCACCAAGGCGACGAUCAGUAGCCGACCUGAGAGGGUGACCGGCCACAUUGGACUGAGACACGGCCCAGACUCCUACGGGAGGCAGCAGUGGGGAAUAUUGCACAAUGGAGGAAACUCUGAUGCAGCGACGCCGCGUGAGUGAAGAAGUAAUUCGUUAUGUAAAGCUCUAUCAGCAGGGAAGAUAGUGACGGUACCUGACUAAGAAGCUCCGGCUAAAUACGUG